ACUCUACUAGGAUGAUGCACAAGGGAAGGUCA
rnacentral:tRNA from 1 species